rnacentral:lncRNA from 10 species
CUUAAAAGUGACCAGACUUGGGAGUAUCCUUCCCUACCUACUCUGGACUACACAGACAUGGAGAAAAGCACUGCAUGGAGAAGGAUUAGAGGAUUAGAGAUCACAGCAUCAUAAAACAGAGGAAACCGAGUAAAGUGGAAAAGCUGUCCUGAUCAUAUGGCAUGCACACCAGACUGCAAAAGGACGUCCACACUAUUUAACAGGACUGUGGCAAAAUAGCUUUAAAGUAAGGCGAGCAUUGUGUAUGGCCCAAGCAUACCCUGUAGGAAGAGCAAAGCUAGGCUCACCUCUCAGAGACUGUGUCUCAGAAAGAGGCUUCCUUUCUUGCCUAGGUUCUUCCAUGAAAUUCGUCAUUGGCAGGUGCUUUUCCAGGGAGAUGCCUGUGCUCUCCCUGUGCAGACUCUGUGCACAAGGAAGUGGCUUUAGAGAGUGUGUUUUCUGAUGCCUCCUUUAUAUUCUAAAUGUAUAACUAGUAAAACAACAAUUACUACCGCUUGGUGAAAUUGUUUUUUGUUUUUUUCUGAAAACUGCCUCUGACUCCACCCUGUACACUGACUAAGCAGGGCCCUUAAAAAACUUAUAAAAAGUUGUUUUUUUUUUUUUUUUUUUUUCAAAUUAAAAACAUGAAAAUUACACCAAAAAGAUGGAACUACUUUUGUAGCACAACUCAGAACUUCUGUUCGUAACACCGGACUAGAGAAGAGGUCGCUUUUGGCUGAAUCUAAUGACCUUAGAAGGGAAAGGCCAUUGCUGGGCAGGAUCUGGUGGCAACGCACACGGAAGUCCUAGAACUCUAUGAAGCCUACCUCAGGCCCUGCGGGUGCGUCUGGAGUUCCAAGGCAUUUGGGGAACCAAAGCAAUUUCAGCUAACAGUGACCAGUUUUUAGAAUGGAGCUUAUGAUCAGAGGACCAUAAACCCUCAUCCACCCUAGAGCUCAAUGCCAGAAAAAUAAAAAAUAAUACAAAAAAUAAAGGAAAAUAGCUUUUUGUGCUAUAUCAGAAUGCUGGCAGGUAGACAAUUCAGUAACCUGUGCCACUUUCUAAACAUCUGUAAGACCACAAAAAAAAAAUGGGUUUUACAGAAUACGAAGACCAACACAGUCUUAGAGGAUCAUUCAACCUUUCCUACAUGCCAAGCUGUGUGAUUGGAAAAUAGAAGAGCCAUAGCUCUUGCAAGAUUAGAGGAAAAGCAAGUAUUUGUCAAGAGCCAAAGAAAUGUGUUCAAAUAAUGGAGUUUCCUCUGUGUCGCACACAGCUUUUCCUUCCCGUAGGUACUAAGAGUUCUUUGGUGGUUAGAGAGAUGGCCUGGAGCUCAGGGCAGGAGAUGACGCUGAAGAGCUACAUCUACUCAGGAUUACCACCUGUGGUUCCUAAUUUCAGCAUUCAACUCUAAUUGUUCAGCCUGACUAAUUACAGGCAAUCAGCUGCUUAUAUGGUCACUGGUUGUCAGCUCCUACUGAUUAUUCCUUUUCCUUUUCUACCUACUCAUUAACCCCAUUCCAUGGAAAAACAGGUGCUUACAGGAAAGGAUAGGGAGGAAAAAGAAAUGUAAAUGAAUCUAUUGUUUGGUAGGAAAGUUGAUUCACUGAUUAUCUAUGGAUUUCAAUGAUCUGUGCUUUACUCUUGCUACUGUGGAUAACCAAAGGUCACUGUUAACGUAUCUUUUGCUUAAAAAUGUUAAUAUGCUUAUUAUGCUUUAAAAUCUAGCUAUUUAAGGGCUGCUGCCAUCAGACCCAGC